UACGUAGGGUGCGAGCGUUAAUCGGAAUUACUGGGCGUAAAGCGUGCGCAGGCGGUUUUGUAAGUCAGAUGUGAAAUCCCCGGGCUUAACCUGGGAACUGCGUUUGAAACUACAAGGCUAGAGUGUGGCAGAGGGGGGUGGAAUUCCACGUGUAGCAGUGAAAUGCGUAGAGAUGUGGAGGAACACCGAUGGCGAAGGCAGCCCCCCGGGUUAACACUGACGCUCAGGCACGAAAGCGUGGGGAGCAAACAGG
rnacentral:rRNA from 1 species